UCGAAUGGACUUCGAAUGACAACCUUGGGAAUCUACCGAUCAAGCUUAAAGAGAAGCGAAGUAGGAGCAAUAGGAAAGAAUCAUUUGUUUCGUGCCCUCUCUGACGCCUCUCUAUUUUUGCCGUCCUCGUGUGUGUGUGUUGCGGCUGAAGGUGGCGAAGUUAGGGUCACUGGGCGACGGGUAUGGUGAGGUGAAGGGUGGCUGUGUUCGAAGUUAAGGGGUGGUGGGUUCUUUUCCGUUGGUGCUCGGUGUCUUAGGUUAGGUCUUUCUUCUUGUUUCCUUAUGCGUAUUUUGGUUUUGGUCCUCCCCUCUUUCAGAAGAAGGUAACGGUUGUUUUGUGUGUUCUUUAGGGUUCUGGUAGUGCUCUUGGUUCUUUCUCCGGUUUUUUUAGGGGUGUUCAAGGGUUUAAGAGGAAUGGGAGAUGGGUUGGGUCUUGUUGGGCUUAAAAAAUUGGGCCCCUUGCAAGAAUUCAAUUUGGGCUACAAAUUCUAUAUAAUUGUGCUAAGAAAAGGCUAAAAAUUUAAUCUACUUCUAAAAUACUUAUAAGAAGAUACAAGUAAAACUAAAAAAUAAAGUUGAAAUUAUUAUAAUAAACUAUUAUAUUUAAAAUAGAACUAAAAAUUAAAGUUGAAACUAUUUUUGGUAUUUUCAAAGAUUAUAUUAAAAUAAAAUAGGUUCAAAGUAACAUAUCUUUCUAAAAAUAACUAAUACGUGAAUUAAAUAGAGAAAUAUGGAACUAUUUUUUUCGUAUUUUUCAAUUUUGUGAUAAAAAUGAUGUAAAAGAGUCAAACUUAGUUAAAAUAACUAUAUUAGACCUAAACUAAUAUUUAAAUGCUAAAAAUAUGUAAAAUCUUGGGGAUGGUUAAAAAUCACAUGUCUACAGCUGCCCCUCUUUGAUUAGAACUACGAAGUAUUUUCAGACAAAGAACGACUAGACAGGUUUUUUGACCCGACCCUUAUUUAGGGAAACCAAAAACUAAGAGGAAGGAGAAUAUGACCGAGCCCUAGUAUCUGAGCUGCCUACAUAUCCUUGGCUAUAAAGGAAUUAGGCCAUGUGUAGUUCAGAAGUAAUGAGGUGAUGGAGUAUACUGAGGUGGAUAGCCAGUCGAGGUUCCGGUCCGCAAUUCUGUUAUUACAUCAAAAUCAAAAAAUGAAAAAGACUAACUAAGCCUAUCAACUAUGAGUUACAAGAUUCCUAUCUAUAAGUCUUCUUAAGCUUGAUCUUGAGUCUUGAAUGGUUCUUCAUGCAGACUUUAGAUUUAAACCUUGACGCUUGCUAGUUGCAGGUGCUAGUUCAUUUUUCUUAAGCUUUUUGGAUCAAAACCGGACACACCAUGCUUGUGACUUCAGUAAUGUCUUGAACAUAUCACAUCUUUCAUAUACUUUUGCAUUUGUUUUGGAUUCACUUCCCUUUUCUUUUUCUUCUUUUUUUUUUCUCGGACUGUUGACUCGCAUUUUUACCGCGAGCUUUUACUACUUCUAACUUGAAUUGGAUUAUGAAAUAACUUCCCUUUUUCUUCCGAUGGGCGCCUGCAACUGAUUUGAAACUUGAAAUAUUUUCGAUACGAAUUCCCUCGUUCUCCAGGUAGGUGCCUGCAAUCAAAACAACAAAACAAACAAAAUUUUCUGCCCCAGUUUGCACUCGAGAGAUUCGUGAGUUGUUAGCAAAAUCAUCUAUGUUAUUGGUGCAAUGAUGAGAGUAAAAAUAAAGACUCGGCUAGGAUGUGCGUCUCUUGUGAGUAAGCUAAGAAUAUUUGACUAGCAAGUGUGUCUGCUAAGAAUAAAACCUGAAUGACCCAGACUAGGAAGUGUGUCUCCUAGAUUUAAGAUUGAGCUUGCAGAAAACUAUAAACUAAGCUUGACUAAAGUAAAAACUGACCCUAUUCUCCAGGCGGGACCCCUGAUUUUAAGAAAACUAAAGAUUAAUAACUCAAGAAAACUAAAAAUUGACCCCUCAUUUUUUUAAUCUUAGGAGAAAAAUUCAUCAGACUAGGUCUUCUAUCUUAGGAGAAAAAUUUAUCAGACUAAGAUUUCGAUCCUAUGAGAUAAUUCAUCAGACUAGGUCUCUUAUCUUAGGAGAAAGAUUCAUCAGACUAAGAUUUUGAUCCUAGGAGAAAGUUCAUCAGACUAGGUCCCUUUUUGUUAUCUUAGGAGAAAGAUUCAUCAGACUAAGAUUUUGAUAUCUUAGGAGAAAGAUUCAUCAGAGAUUUUGAUAUCUUAGGAGAAAGAUUCAUCAGACUAAGAUUUUGAUCCUAGGAGAAAAUUCAACAGACUAGGUCUUUUUAUCUUAGGAGAAAGAUUCGUCGGACUAAGAUUUGAUCGUAGGAGAAAAUUCAUCAGACUAGGUCCCUUUUUUUGUUAUCUUAGGAGAAAGAUUCAUCAGACUAAGAUUUCUAUCUUAGGAGAAAGAUUCAUUAGACUAAGAUUUUUGAUUGGGGGAAAAAUUGAUCAGAAUGGGACAUUUUUUCCUAGGAGGAAAAAUGUGAAGAUCAAUAGCAACAUUUUAUGCACACUAGCAAGACAGGUAAGGGAAAAGAUUUGAGAAACUUCCCUUUAUCGAUUCUUCUCUUCUUCUUCUUCUUCUUCUUCUUCUUCUUUUUCUUUCUUUUUCUUUCUUUUCUUUUUUUCUUCUUCUUGUUUUUGAACUCACUUGCUUGCAGUGCUUUGUUCCUAUUUCAAACAAAGAAAACUUGUGAGUUUAAAUAUGGUGGUUAGUUUGUGGCCUUGACCUUGAGGGCGGCUGCUUCUACACUUGCCAAGAUAACUUUGAUUUCAACUUGGACGACCUUGAUUGUUAUCGACUACCUAUUUUCUUUCAACCCUUAUCACAGAAAACACCUCUGCUCCAUUCGAUCCCAAUUCCUCUAUCUGUUGCAUUUUGCUCAUGAAUUGACAUUUACCGAACCCUUGCAUUUCACAUGAAUCCCAAAGCAUGUUGAUUGUUACCAACCCAAUGCGCACACCACUUUUCCCUGACUUAUGCCACUUUGAUGUGCUAGCCAAAUUCGUUUUGUGCAAUUGGAAAGUUAGUAGCAAAUUUUGAAGUCAUUUCUCACUUGUUCUGACCCAACAGACUCAAGAAGAGACUCAAACAAAACAAGAGGAACAAAAUAAGGGACAAUGGAAAGAUAUGAUACCUAACAAGAAAAUUACAAAGUAGAAACUUAUCAGCUGUGGAUACCAACUCUAAUGACCAUGACAUGCACUUUUGGAUUAAGUGGCUUAAUCUCUCGAGCAAGUCUAGUAUUCAACUCUUGUUGUACCUCUUCGUUGUGAAACUGGGCUUCAGAGCAUCAAUUGUCCCAACUGAUCCACAAUCCUCAAUCGACUUGUAGUGCCUUGAAUGUUUUCACCAUCAAGCCUCUCUCAUUUUGUUCUUUUCUCAACUCACCAUCGCCUUACGGUGCCCAUGAAGGUUUUCACUGUUAAGACUCUCUCAUUUUACCAUUUUCUCUCUUUGUGCUGAGAAUAAAGUAUUACCCAUGAUGCAAGAAGAUCAUACUUUUACCACACACUUGAUUUGAUAUCCUCAAAGAUUGGUCGGAAGGUCUUUCUUUGGACCGUAAUGUAGGCUUUUGGACAUGGUUAGAAAGAAAGGGUGGCAUGAAGGCUCAAAAUAAUUUAAGAUGAAAAGAGUUCAAAAUUACAACUUUUGGAAUCAGGACUUUUGGCAAAAUUAAAACUCUUGCCCCAGUUUCUUGGAGUUUGGGGAUUUUUUCUUCUUCUUCUUUUUCUUCUUCUUCUUCUUCUUCUUCUUUUUUGUUUUGAUGGGAUUUCUAAGAAAAUCUGCCCCACUCUUGACUUCGGGGAUUAUGAAAUAUUUAUUUGGUGUGAUCGAACCAUAAGGCAACCUACGUAUUUUGUGGUAACAAGAAUCAGGUCGAACGUAGUUCAAACACAAAGUUGGACUAUUUUGUUGUUUUCUUUUCCUUUUCUUUCUUUCCUUUUCUUUCUUCUUUUUUUCUUUUUUUCCUUUUUUCCUUUUUCUCCUUUUCUUUUCUUUUCUUUUCUAUUUCCCAACUCUGCUUCUGAUUCCAAAAGAGGGGCAUGAAACAAAACAAAUUAAGGCUCAAAAGGGGUAGCAAAAGAUAAAAGUGUUUGGGUAGCAGAAUAAAAUGCCUUCGUCAUACCAAACUUUAAAAAUGCUAAGUACAAACAUGCAAUUGAAGAUAAGCAAAGAAAUCAUACACAAUAUCUAUUAAUGACAUCAACACAAACAAAAAGUGUCAGGCAAUACAUUUGUCCCAAUGAAUGACAUUGCCAGUUCGAAGCAGAUUUGACUCAACCUUAUCUUGAUGUGGAAGAAUGCAUUUGAGCACUGACUAAUUUACCUCAAACUGCUUGAGAGACAUUUCCUUGUUAUAUGCUCUUAUCAACCUCUUGAUUUCCCAGACUUACUGCCUCAGUUUCACUCAUUUUAAAGUUCAGGUCAUCUCAGAAUGCGUGAAUCUUUAAUUGUUUCCUCAAACGCAUCCUUUUAUCAUAUUCAAAACUGUGUCAUUGCUUCAUGAUUACACUAACUUUCAAGACCAGCGUGAAAAUUAUGUGUGCAUGUCAUGUCACUAGAGUUGGCAUGAAAAGAACUAUAAAAGGAAAAGUAACCUAAAAAGAAACUAACUAGAACUAAUAGAAAAUAGGAGAUUGCAUUAGAUAGAUGGUGAAAAGGUUUUGAACAAAACAAGCGAAAUAGACAUGGGUUACAACCCUGGAAAAAUCCUAGAUAACGCUAGACGAGUUGCUACAACUAAACGAACUAGGCAAAAUAAGAAGAAGAAAUGUUUGGGCCACAAGACAAUGUCCGGAUAACAACCCUGAAAUAACCUGAAAAACAGGAAUGACAACAAAAUAAACCACUAAAACUCCUCCCUGGCUAGACAAGAAAGGAGUCUUUCCAAUUACCAAGCUCGACAUCUUAGUCACUGGACUACACAUCAAAAUUACUUGGACCAAUUUCCAUCACGUUGACCUUAUGAAAUAGCUUUUGGGUCCCUUUUGCCAACUCGUCCUUAAGAUCAACCUCUAGAACCGAGACUGAUAGCGCUGAAAACUUUGCGGUAAGUGGCCCUCCAAGGGAGUCAUGACAGUUCUUAUAUUCCUUUUCCACACAAAUCAUGUCCACCAUAUGCGUCUCAUUAUGAACAGGCAAUGGACUUUGGCUAGUAUCUGCUGCAUUUGGUUUUUGCACGGUAAUGUCACCUACAUCAAUAAACUACUAGACUACUCUUUUCAGAUGCCAACACUUUUCUAUGCCGUGCCCAGGGGCAUUAGAGCAAUAUGCGCACCUUUUAGAAAAAUCAAAAUUCUUUGGAAAGUGUUUCGGCAUUUUUAUCUGAAUCGGCUUCAACAUGUCCAAUUGCCUCAGCUUUUGGAACAGACUAGCAUAUGAUUCUCCAAUAGGAGUGAAAGACUUUUCUCUUUGCUGCUGCCUUCUCAUUUUGUACUCUGGCCUUGGUUGGAACCUCUUUCGGGUAGGGGGUUGAUAUGCUUGUAAAGGUGGGCAAGACAUUUGUGGAGGCGGUGCAAGCCAUUGCGAGUUUUAUGUGUGUGGAGCAUAUGGUGGUGCAUUGUGGAUAUAGUACUGGGGAGGUGAGGUAUGACUUUGGGGAUUCUAUGGAGGAAAGUAGUAUUGGGGAGGAUUAUAUGGAGUAUGAGGAUAUUUAUAGGGUUGGUAUUGAGGCUAAAAGCAUUUAGCAGGAAUGCCCACUGGAUUCUGUCGUUGGCGGAACUCACCAACAUCUUUUCUACCAAUCAGAGAACUGACCCGAGCAACUUGUUCUUUCUAUCUGAACCAAAACUCCCUAAAGCCUUCCUUGGGUUUCUUUUCCAUUUGAGAUAGGGAGGAGCGGUCUGGGAUAAUGUCUACUUUGUACUGAUAGUGCCAAACAAAAUCUUGAGCCAUGACACCCCAUGCAUGUCACUUACUUGCGUCUUGGCAGGUGUACCACUCCAGAGCUGCCUCAGUCAGACUCUGACUGAAAUAUGUCAUCAAUACUUCAUCUUUCCCGCAAACACUUCUCAUUUUACUGCAAUAACCCCUUAGAUGGGCUACUAGAUCUUCAUGCCCAUCAUAUAAAUUAAGCUUUGGCAAUUUAGACCCUUUCAGCUUUCUGGAUAUCUCAUCCUGCUCCGCUGUCUUAGCAGGCUCUCACCGGGAGGCUCAAAAUAAGGAGCAUAAGAGUAUGGACCUGAGACCUUGAAAAUUGAUUAUGGAGCAUAGUGUUGGACAUCUAGAGCUUGGAAUGCGGGCUCACUAGAGGAUCGGUUGAGGGUAGCUUAUGGAGGGGGUACAAAAAUAGGAGCAGAUGUCGGAGCAGUGUAUGCAAUUAUUUUGGCUGGUGGAGCAUGGAAAGUUUGGGAGGAAGUGCCACGGUAGUUGUGGUAAGGGGUGAAGCUUAGUGCAUGUUGAGGGAAAAGAUCAGCGGUAGUGGGAAUCUGGGCUUGUGAUAGUGGUGGGAUAGUUGUAGGGUCUUCAGUGUAGUUAGUGGGGAAUGAAGGUAGAGGAUGCCCCCUGAUCCAAGACUGAUACAUUUCUGCAAUCUGCUGUUUCAACCUUUGUACCUCCUCUUUCAAUUCAGACUCUGAUUCCACAAACUCCCUCGACAGGUCAACAACUCCUGUGUCCAAGUCGUUGCUAGCCAUGACUACCUUGUUCUUUGACAUUGUGUUGUAUGGAUGAAUUGCCAAAGUACCACAAACUAACCACCCUCUGUUAUGAUAACAAUGAAAGUAACAAAGAGGAGCAAAACAAAGUCAACAUGUUAGCGUUAAGACAUUUAUCAGAUAAAAAUAUCACAUUGCGUGCAAUGCCCCUAGCAGCAAUUAACGGUUCUAGAAUGACUUCGAGGGUCACAAAGUCAUUUGGCAUCAUCCCAAUUUGUUCGUUCCAACCUUCUCUUUUCUUUCUUUUCUAGCACUUCUUGGCUUGCUCAUUUUCCUUCCUCUCUUUUUCUUUUUAAUUAUCACUCUUUUCUUUCCUUUCAUUUCUCACAUCCACAAUUUCAUUUUUUUUCUUGUUUUUUCUCUUCUUUUUUUUCAAAAAAAUUAUUCGAUUGAACCCUAUGUAGGUUGUUUACGUAUCAUGUCCCUCAUGAAUCAGAACAAGCGUAGUUUUGGAAAAAUGAUGGAUAAAACAAGAAACAAAAAUCUUUUUGGAUUUUUCAUUUAUAACUUUUUUUUUUGGUUUUUCAAAUUCAAAACAGGAAGUACUAUAACAAAAGACUCGACAAUCUUAACUAGACUGACAGACUCGAUACUACUGUACAAGACUAAUAAUUAAAGACAACAUAAAAUAGACUAAAAAUAAAAAAGUUUGCUCAAGCAGCUCGUGCAUGCAAUACUCUUGACUAGAAUGGUCCUGGGGUAUUUGUCAUGCUCAAACUCUAGAAAAUUUAUCCAUACCUGAAUGGGAAAAAUAAGAUCAAAUAGAGUUAGUGACUCAAGACAUAUGUGACGUCACAACACCUUCUAUUGGACACAUGCAAGACAUGAUUAAGGCUAUUUUUGCAAAAUGACCUACGUAGCCAAAGUGUGACUAUUAGCACAAACUCAACAAAGACGACCUCAAAGACAUGGACAUACCUCCCUAAGGUUUAUAUGGAUUCAAACUCACAACAAUCAUGGCCCAAAAUUAAUUUGCAAAAAUGACCCGUUUUGCAAAAACGACUGAUAUGGCCAGAAGUAGUUAAAGAUGCAAACUCAAAAAGGAAGGACCUUAAAGUAAUAUGACACCUAGUUGUGGCUCAAAAUCCUAAGACAUGGGUAAUUGAACUACUUUUGCGAAAAUGACCCCAUUUUGCAACAAGGGCCGAUAUGGCCAAAAGUGACUAGACAUGCAAACUCUACAGGAAUGAACCUUAAAACUGAGAGGACACCUUGUUGUGGGCUUAGGACUCUAAUACAUGGGUUAACAAGCCAUUUUGCAAAAUUAUCCCUAUUUUGCAAAAACAAUCGAUGUGGCCAAACGUGGCUAGACAUAUUUGGCUAAGACCCCGCGAAGCUAAGAACCUAAGAUACUAGAAAGACCGGACCCUAUGUGGGCUGCCUACAUAUCCCAUCUCGAAAGACGAGAAUCAGGUAUGCGUAGUUCGGGAAGAUUGGAUAUGGGAGAAAGCUUAAAAAAUGAUACUAAUUUGGAAAAAUAUUUUUUUUUUGUCUUUGUGUAAAAUGAUGGAAAAUGUAAAAUCUUUUUGGAUUUUCUCUUCUUUUUUUUUGAUUUUUUGGAAAAUGAUGAGAAAGUGUAAAAUCUUUUUGGAUUUUCUUUUUCUGUCUUUUUUGAUUUUUUGGAAAAUGAUGGGAAAGUGUAAAAUCUUUUUUUUUGGUCUUUUUUUUAAAAAACAAAUUGUGAAAGAAAAAUAUAACUAGGCUCUAUUUGCUUCAAUUUUUCACCUUUCUCUCCCAAACAUCGAUCCGCCAAAUGACCUUUUUACCCUCAAAGAUGCAACAUGUAUCACAUAGGAAUGAUUGAAUGUCUUUUUGGGUCACAGGCCCAUUUUUGACAAAAUUUGGAUAGGCUUCCUACAAAAGGACAUUGUGCCUGAGACCGAGCCCUACUAGAUCCAAAUGACAUGAUGCAAAUAAGAAUGACCUAAAGGCUAACCUAAAUUUGGGGUUCACUAAAGGCAAUUCGGGGCGGCACGUGGUUGAUAGCGGCUGCUCUAGCUGUCCGCCUACUCCACGCUCCCAUGCCACCCCCCCUAAAGACACAGGUGACUCACAAAAAGGUCGUGUACGCUCAAAUGUACUCCGAAAGACUUAUUGCAGAACAAAGACCAAUGGUUAUGCAAAUGAUGAUGACAAUUUUAAUGCAGUAAACACAUAAGGAAAAACAUAAAUAAAUAACCAACAAAACAGCGAAUAAGACAAACAAAACAAAUAAAGAAAACUGAAUAUCCUAAAAGCCAACAAGAUCAAGUAUCAGCUCGAACCUGCAACUCCCUAGCAGAGUCACCAGAGCUGUCACACUCCUUAUUUACCAACUCCACUUAACCCUUUUAAAAUUAAUAAAAUGAUUUAGUAAAGCUCAAAAGUGUUUUUAAUUAAAAGUGACAAAAAAUUGUUGUGUUAAAAAGAAUUUUUCCAGAGUCGCCACCUGAAAUUGGUUUCGGUGUGUCAGGUCACCGUUUUAUAAAAAUAAUUUUUUCUUUUUAAACACUUUGGACUCCAGAAUUAAGUCUUCACCAGAGAUUCGGGUAACGGGGUUCAUUUGACUCGGGGAGAAGGUGUUAGGCACUCCUCAAGUCCCGUAGCUAGUAUGGUUGCGUACUUGAUUUAGUUGGCUUUUAAAAUAUUCAAAUUGAGAUAAAAACAAACACAGAAAAGAAAAACAAACAGACAAGAGGCUCGAGGUCGUUCCCGCCUAAUAAAAGAAAAAUAAAAAUACUACGAGUUCCACUUUAGGCCUCCAAAUACAAGUACUUCGAGGCAUACCCCGGAUAGAAUAUAUACAAAUCCUUCGGGGUAUUUUUCAGAUAAAUUUAACUAAAGGAAACGACCUCUCACCUCGAAACCAAAGGCAAAUGAAAAAUACAAAAAUUGCCUACCCAAGUGUUGACGGCCUAGGCAUGCUCCUAACGCUAUAACCAAAAAACAAACAAUGAAUACUACAAUAUUAACGUUGCUUCUUUUAAUCUGACGCUAGUUUAACCAACGAUUCAUCGCCUUAAUUCCUUCAGUUAAUCAAAACAUACUCAACUAAAGAAUGGCAUGAACACACAGAGAUUAAAAAUAGGGCAAAAAGACGUGUUAAAAUGCAAAUAACCAAGCUGAUUCAAUUAAAAUGGGCUUUGAAUUAUAUCCUCCGUCAAUUUUUCACUCAUUCUUACAACCUAACCACUAAUAUUUCAUACACCUCAAGAGAUUGGAAUUAGACGUUUUCAAGAAGACGACUUGGGGUGUUCGGAAUUAGUAGAAUAUGCUGUUUGUUUUGUGUAAAAUCAGUAUCACAAAUAAAUCAAAUUUAACACAUGCUAACACCACUGAAAAUUAUUAAAUCAGUGAAAUUAAAAGCGAAAUGCCCCACUUUACAAUGUAAUAGAAUAUAGCAACAAAGAGGAAAGUUUAGAAUAGAUCUCAAGCAAUUACAGUAACGCAACAUGAACCGGAAUCGAAACUCGACAGACGAAACCUCACCAAACAAGAAUUCAUGAUACGACUGUAAUUUAAAUCGGAAAGAAACUCGGAUGGAGCAACGGUCCACACCUCAAAUGGACUUCGAACGACAACCUUAGGAAUCUACUGAUCGAGCUUAAAGAGAAGCGAAGUAGGAGCAAUAGGAAAGAAUCAUUUGUUUCGUGCCCUCUCUGACACCUCUCUGUUUUUGCCGUCCUCGUGUGUGUGUUGCGGCUGAAGGUGGCGGAGUUAGGGUCACUAGGCGGCGGGUCUGGUGAGGUGAAGGGUGGAUGUGUUCGAAGUUAAGGGGUGGUGGGUUCUUUUCCGCUGGUGCUCGAUGUCUUAGGUUAGGUCUUUCUUCUUGUUUCCUUAUACGUAUUUUGGUUUUGGUCCUCCCCUCUUUCAGAAGAAGGUAACGGUUGUUUUGUGUGUUCUUUAGGGUUCUGGUAGUGCUCUUG
rnacentral:lncRNA from 1 species